rnacentral:rRNA from 1 species
AUUGAACGCUGGCGGCAUGCUUUACACAUGCCAGUCGAACGGCAGCGCGGGCUUCGGCCUGGCGGCGAGUGGCGAACGGGUGAGUAAUACAUCGGAACGUGCCCAGUAGUGGGGGAUAGCUCGGCGAAAGCCGGAUUAAUACCGCAUACGAUCUGAGGGUGAAAGCGGGGGAUCUUCGGACCUCGCGCUAUUGGAGCGGCCGAUGGCAGGUUAGCUAGUUGGUGGGGUAAAGGCCUACCAAGGCGACGAUCUGUAGCUGGUCUGAGAGGACGACCAGCCACACUGGGACUGAGACACGGCCCAGACUCCUACGGGAGGCAGCAGUGGGGAAUUUUGGACAAUGGGCGAAAGCCUGAUCCAGCAAUGCCGCGUGUGUGAUGAAGGCCUUCGGGUUGGAAAGCACUUUUGGCGGGAACGAAAAGGACUGUGCCAAUACCACGGUUCGAUGACGGUACCCGCAGAAUAAGCACCGGCUAACUACGUG